AGUAACACAAAAAUUAUAAAGGUUUGCUAAAUUUAAGUGCGUCGAUGCUCGCUAUGGUUCAGAGUUGAUUCAUCUCUGGCUGAAUUCACAGAGGCAGGCACGAGCUCAUCGACAACUUUUUAGUGACAUCGCACCAUGUCAAAAUCGUCAGAUCAGUUUGACAACUCAGACUGCGUGUGCUCGUUCGGAAUGAAGCUAACGUGGGACAUUAACGACCCUAAACUUCCGCAGGACACGAAGCAGUACGAUGCGUUUCAGGAGUGGACAGAUGGUUAUGUUCGGUACAUAUACAGUGCCGAAGACAAAAACGCGCAGCGCCACUUGAGCGGUUGGGCCAUGCGCAACACGAACAACCACAACUGUCAAAUCCUGAAGAAAUCGUGCUUGGGCGUCGUGGUUUGCUCCAGAAACUGCACACUUGCAGACGGCACCAAACUCCAACUGCGGCCUGCCAUUUGUGAUAAAGCCCGCCAGAAGCAGCAAAAAAAGCUUUGUCCAAACUGCAGCUCAGCUCUCGAGUUGGUGCCAUGUCGUGGCCAUAGCGGUUAUCCUGUCACCAAUUUCUGGAGAGUGGAUGGCAAGGCCAUAUUUUUCCAGGCUAAAGGCGUUCAUGAUCACCCGCGACCCGAGAGCAAGUCGGAAACGGAGGCGAGGAGAAGCGCAGUAAAGAGAAGAAUGGCUUCCCCUCACUUCUCGCAGAAAAGGAGACUCGUAGAACCAGAGCCUGGCCGCUACCAUGAUAUGCCCUUCCCCAACAUCCACCAGCUCACCAUGGAGACCCCAGAUCGCUUCAGCAUCAUUGCUGAAUCCAAUUUCCCUAUCCAGACACAGCACUACACGCCAUUCCAGAACACAGAGCCUUACAAGUUCCCCUAUGACACACAUGGCCCAACAGCCAUGGCUGAUGCUGCAAGCCCUCUGCAGAAGCCUUCUAACCACCGCCUGUACAUGGCAAGACCUCCAUGUGGAUAUGACUUUGCAGUGCCAGGCUACCUCAGUUCUGCACCCUACCCCACAGCACUGUAUAAGGACCCUGCUAGCCCCCCCUGUGAGGCUGAACUCAAUAAAAGUUGCUCUGGCCUGAGUGGGAUGCCUCACACAACCAGCUCACUCCCAAACCAUGAGCGCUCUUAUCCAGAUGCCACCACCAAGCACCAUAGCUGGAAGCAGAUCCUGGGCAAAGGGCCAUAUGGAGAGAGAGGGGAAUACCCACAGCUUUCUGCCAAUGCCAACCACUAUUACAACACUGAAUACCCAUGCAGGUACACAGGGCCCAGUCCGAAUACUCCGACAGCCCUUCAGACCAUCAUAACCACUACCACUAAAGUGUCCUACCAGCCGUGUCCUAAGCCAUCUGUGGUAAAAUAUGGUGAGAGUAUCUAUGACAUGAAGGGUCUGUCAAACUGUAACUCUGUCCUAGAGGAGACCUCCCCCAACACCUACUCUGACCUGAAGAUCCCAGAGGAUUCAAGCGUCAUAAAAACGGCUCUGUCCUACCAGGAUUCGGUCCCCACAAAAAUUGAAAGGACUGAGAACUUCGAAGGUUACCGUUACAGCGGCUACAGCUCCAACAGCUGCCCUGAGAGACUGGCACAUCCAUACAGGUAUGAAGGUGGAGAGUACUGAUCUACUGCUUCAGCGCUAAUUAUCAGGAAACAACAGCAGAAGAGGAGAAAAGAAAACUAUUUUCGCUGAUGAUAUUUGAGUAUUCCCUGCUAGAUUGAUUAUUUAAACAACAAAACUUGGUUUGAGCCCUGGGUUUCACCUGUGAAGACUGCAUUUGUUGUUAAAAAGGAUAAACCAACAUGAAGACCAGAAAGCUGUCUAUGGGAGAAAAGCAAGCCAUUUAAAAGCUCAGAAAAGACGGAAAAUCAAAAAGCCACAAAAGUCCUGGAACCAAGAUUAACUUCUACCAAAUUGAUGGAAAGGCCAAAGUGUGGAGAAAGGAAGGAUCUGCUCAUUGGUUAAGCACAGUGGAGGUACUGUCUUGGCUUGGGCUUGCAUGGCUGCUUCUGGAAUGGGCUCACUAAUCUUUAUUGAUGAUGUAACUCAUGAUGUUAGCAGCAGAAUGAAUUCAGAAAUCUACAGAAACAUUCUGUCUGCAAAUUUACAGAGAAAUGCAUCCAAUCCUAUUGGGAGGAACUUCACCAAGCAGCAUGACAAUGACCCAAAACACUCUGCAAACAAAACAAAGGAUUUCAUCAGGGGAAAAGUGGAAGGUUUUAGACUGGACAAGUCAAUCACCAGACCUUAACCAAAUUGGGCAUGCAUUUCACCUCCUGAAGAGAUGACUGAAGGGAGAAACUCCCCAAAACAAAGAAGCUGCAGUACAAGCCUGGAAAAGCACCACAAAAGAAGAAUGCAACAGUUUGGUGAUGUCAGUAGGUUACCAGCUUAAUGCAGUUUUUGCAAGCAAGGGACAAGCAAACAAAUACUAAAUGUUAUUUACUUUAAUUUAUUUGAAGACUGUUCCUAUAAAUCUGUUCCUAUAUUUUUGCUUACCUAAAAAUUGGGUGGUCUGCCACAAAAGGUCCCAUGUUCUAAGUUGUUUAACACAUCUAGAUGUAAAUUUUAGGAAAUUCUGAACUAUCAUCUUAUAUUCAUCUUUUGAUCUCAAAACCAAAUCUCUUCAGUCUUUAGCAAAAACAAAAGCUGUUCCAAUACUUUCGGAGGGGACUGUAUAUGUUGGAGUAGCAUUGAUUUAGAAUUAACUAACACACUACAUAUAGCUCAUAGAGAGUGGCCUUUAUUACAUCAGAUUUAGACAUACAGAUACAAAAAGAGCCUGAGAGACUUUGAGGACCUUGUGUCUUACAGAGCAACACAAAUGUCUGUAUGUCUGUGAUUAUGGUCCUCCAUGCCAAGUGCCCCUAUAUUCCUUUUGUCGUACUUAUGAUGAGCCCUUAUUUGCAACUAGUGGAUGAGAGAUAGAUGCAGCUCAAAGGCAGGUGCUUGAUAAUCUUUGCAACUCCAGAACACUUCAAAGUCAAAGUUUUGAUUAAUGUUUUCAAGAUAUGUGUGAAGAAAAACAUGUAAGGAUGCUGUUUUAGGGCUUUACAUUAAGGUUCAUUUAUUUAACAUUAUUUCCUGUAUUACUUAACAAUUAAAACACAUGACCUUUAGUAUUAAUAAUUGAAUACUUUUAAUUAAUAUUUCUAAAUAUUGAACAAAGUAGACCAAAAAAUAAAUAUUGGAAUUAACCAAUGCUUAUUACAACUAUGACUAAAAAUAAGUCCACAACAACCAAUGCCUUAAUGAAUACUGUAUGUUUGCAAUAGCUAAAUGGCAAUAGUGGGUUCCAACACUGACUGAUUAUUAUAAUUUCCCAUAGAUUUUUCUUGCCACAAUAUUACAGACAGUGACUUUGGAUUUUAGAUUCCAAAAUCUAAAUUAAUGUUGCAAUAUUAAUAUUAUUGAAGAUGAUCAUUUUAUUUGAUUCCUCCACUUUGAUUUUCAAUCUCUAAUCACAACAGAGGAUAUUGCUCAAAAUUUUCUAUUUAAUCAUUUAAAUCCUAAAAGCAUCCAAAAUACAUUGGAUCUGUUUUCCAGGCUGUGGUUAUAGCCUUAUUAUAGUUAUGUGUUGACACUUCAUAACUUUAUAAUUCUUUAUAAAGAAUAUAAAACUUUAUAAAGAAUUUUUGCUUAUAGUAUAUUUUAUAUAACCAUAUAUAGUCUCUCUCACACACUCACUCUGUCCCUUCUUUACUAUCUCUUUUUCCUCUCAUUUUGUGCCUCCUCUCUCUCUCUCUCUCUCUCAACAGCAUUAAGCAAGAGUAGAGCACAGGUGGUUUGAGCUCUAGCAGGCAAACUGAUGAGGCACUCUUGCUGCCUUCAUCACUGCCAUUAACUCAGACACACCAACCCAGUUCUCUGGCUGGAGAGGAAGAAGUGUUUACAUUCAGACACAGAGAGCAGUCAUUGAUGUUUUUUCCCCCUUUCAGUCAUUUUUCAUUCUCUUUAUCUGGUCCUUCCCUCUUUUGCAAACAUACAUAUAUCCUUUUGGUCAAUCAUCUCACCACUCGGUCUGAGUAUGUCUGUGCUGUGGAGUUUGAAAAUCCUUAGAUUACCAAGUGCACGUGCAGGUGGCUCUUUAGACUGGAUUGUUCGUUUCCAAUCUAACAGGUGUAACAAGGCCUCACAAAAAAUCUUUAGAUCUGCUGUAGUAUCAUUUUUCACACCACUGUUACUUUGAGAGAUGUGAUAUUCCUGUCAAUGUCAAUGCAUAUGCUGCUUUUUGAGACACUGAGGCUACAGAAAGGCUCAGAGGAAACUAUUUCACCUGAUAAAUGUUAUUUUGUCCCUUGCCAUGAACUGUAGCAAGAAUCCCAGCAAUGCAGGCACAGAGAAGCACAAAUCCAUCUUUAAAAGCAGCUUGUUAGAAAAGCAUCUAUUCCUGCUUCCCAGUGACCAUGAAACGCAAUUCCUGUGACUUAAAAGCAAAGUUUGAAUAUGCAUAUCCAAGAUGGUUAAAUGAUGAAUAAAUCAAAUGAAUUUGAUAGAAAUUGUCCAUCUGAGUCCAUCAAGACCACCGAUUUCUAUCAACUGUUCAUUCUUUCUUGCAAUCUCAGGUCCUGAGAUUUCGACAUCCAUACCUACUUUGUGCUGUACCAAAUAUUAAUAAGCACAUAUUAAUAUAUAGUAAGUGGCUGGCUACAAGAUUUACCCGAAAACUAACAUAAUGCCUACUAUUACUUAAUCAUGUUUUUCUGUUUUGAACAGUUAUCUAAACACUUUUUACAUUUCCUAUUGACAAAUUUAGUAACAGACAAGGGGCAAAUGUACUCAACCAGAAAGUGUCCAAUAUAAAACAUACUUAUGGUCAUCAAAAACAAUAUAACAUGUCUGUCUGUUGAAAGUUAAUGAGUUUGUAAAAUGAAUAACAAUACAAAUAGAUAGUAGUAACUACAAAAUAGAAGGAUCUAUUUUUAUUCUUAUUCAACACACACACACACACACACAUAUAUACACACAUGCACACACUAUCACACUGCAGUCCCUAUACCUGUGAGACAUCACAUUUGAGUACCUGCUACACCCAGGGCUUUCUCAAAGGGUGUAUGAAAGUGAGUAUGCAUCAGCAAAAAUUUUAGCAAGAAACUGUGAAAU